UUAGGAUUUUACUGAAUCCAAAGGAUGGACUUUUUCACCUCCCAGUUAAUUCCUCAACCUUCGCAUGAAGAUUCUCAGGCAAGUCAUGAUGAAGGCCUUGGUACAGAGGAAGAUAUCUCAACGGAGCAGUCUUGUACAAGCAUGACUCAGAUUGGAGAGCAGCAAAUUAGGUAACAGAUAUUUGCAAGCAGAUGAAGGAACACAUUUACAGAGUCUACAAGGAGAACAAUCACAAAAUGCAGGCCCAGUUCCAGGAGUUGUCAGAGGUGCUGGAAAACUGCAGUAAGCUUAAUGAGGAACUCCUUGGAGUCAGCCAGGCUCUUAAAAGUCUUAGAGAGGGCCUGGUCCUUGGCCAGACACCUAAAAAGUAACAAACUACAUAAUGUUUACCUGCACUUGCCGUAAACCUAUCUCUCCUGUUUCUGGACAAGGGUGCAGACUAGCUGUUACCAUUUGUACCUUUCCUAACUAAAUAUAUUCCUAUGAUCAUCCUUUUAUAGAUGCCCUCCCUGAGGUUGUGGUGGUCUUUGUCACUACGCAUCCUUGACUUCUGAACAUAAUGUCUCAAAAUAGCUUUUUUGUUUUACUUUUCCAAAAAUAGUGCCUCCUGUUAUGCCAUUUUGCUAAUAUGUUUCUAUAAAUGUGGCGGAAUAAUAAAAAGUUAGUGUCAACUUGACUGAAAAGAGGAAAAUACUGUCAGAAUUGUUUGGGUGCCUUACCUCCCUUUUUGCUAGAAUUGAAAAAGGACCGUUGUGUCUUCUCAUAAGGACAGUUAUUCACGUCUUGUGGUCUGGUCACAGUUAGAGGAUGGGAGAACAAACAACUUGGAAUAAUCUUUUGUUUAUGCAUAAUUUAUGUUCAAAUCUGCUGCUUCAAUAAAUAAAACUACA